UCUUUUGAAGAAAGUGUAUUCUUUGAAGGUCGCCUUCAGCUGAACGCUUCGAACUGCAGAGAAGCUCAGAAUACAACACACACAGAGGGAGAGUGACUUCAUUAUCGGCUCAGCUGCCGGAGCGAUGGAGGGAAAGGCCCGGAGGAUGAUGGGAGAAUGAGUCGAAAAACACAGGGAGGAAGCAGACAGACAGAUGAAGCGUGUCCAGGAUGGUGUUGAUGGUGUGUUUGGCGAUGGUCAUCUUCAGCCCCUUCAUGCUGCCGCUGAUGUCCACCAUGAUGAUGAUGUCUUUCGGAGACGUGGCUGCCUGGAUGUACCUGAACAUAACAUUACAG